GCCGGAUAGAAAAGCGUUUUCACAGCGGGACGCUUCUCCGCCUUGAAAGAACCCCUAGUGACGCUUGCAGAGGCGCAGUGGACCUCGCAGGUGUUACGCUGAGUGUAGGAAGUGUGUGCAGAGGCGCACACACUGUGUGACUUCCUCUAUUUGAAACUCUAGGUGGGACAAAACUGACCUAUGAUGCGAAACAGGAUGACCUAGGAUGACAGUGCAGAGACCUGUGGUCAUCUGGGGCUGAGGCUGGCUGGGAAAGGAGCAGGAGGGAACUCAGCCUUUGAGGGAAAUCCAGAGGCAGGGGGGUGGAUCCAGCAGACACGCAUUCAGCUGCAAGUAACACCAAUCUCACCACUGGUAUCAUCAUCCACGGCUGUGAUGAUUCUGCAUAACAAACACCCCAAACAUUUUAUUCUUUCGAAUAUGGAGUUGUUGCAGGUCAGCUGGCCCGGUGUGGUCGUGGCUGGGUGGUUCUGCUGAUCUUGGCUGGCCCCAUCCACCUACCGGCUGUUCUGCUGGAGGUCUGCUGACCUAGGCUGGCCUAGGGACAGGACCCUGCCCUGCCUCACACACCUCUCACCUUCUUCUGGGACCCAAAGACUUUACCAGGUGUGUCUGCUUACAGUGGUGAAGUGAAAGUGAAAGUUGUGUCUGACUCUUUGCGACC